GUUGUAACACCCUCGAUGCGACUAUAUCUCCCACGUGUCGAGGCACGACUUAGAGGCAUAAUCGCAUUGAAGGCAAUGUCGCAAGUGAGGUAAUCUUCACACAACCCAUGUAAUAUAAUAGGGGAAAAAGUUACAUAGUUGGCUUACACUCGCCACUUCACACAAUUACAUGAAUAAAACAUUACAUCAACCAAGUACAAUCAGGGCCCGACUACGGAGCCAAAAUAAAAGAAGAACCCCAAAUGCGACAAAGAUCCCCGAUCGACCCCAACUGGGCUCCACUACUGAUCAACUAGAACGAAACAACACAAAUGAACAAGGUCUUCAUCGAGCUCCUCCCGAGCUUGGUUGCGUCAUCUGGACGGUCUCAUCGGCACCUGCAAACUGGUUUUGGAAGUAUCUGUGAGCCACAGGGACUCAGCAAUCUCGCACCCUCGCGAUCAAGACUAUUUAAGCUUAUGGGUAAGGUGAAGGUAUGAGGUGGAGCUGCAGCAAGCGACUAACAUAUAUGGUGGCUAACCUAUUCGCAAAAGAGAGCGAGAAGAGAAGGCAAAGCACGGUCGAUAAAAGUAUGAUCAAGAAGUGAUCCUGGACUACCUACGCCAAGCAUAACUCCAACAACCGUGUUCACUUCCCGGACUCCGCCGGAAAGAGACCAUCACGGUUACACACGCUGUUGAUUCAUUUUAAUUAAGGUCAACUUUAGGUUUUCUACAACCGGACGUUAACAAAUUCCCAUCUGCCCAUAACCACGGGCACGGCUUUCGAAAGAUCAAAUCCAUGCAGGGUGUCCCAACUUAGCCCAUGACAAGCUCUCACGGUCAACGAAGGAAUAGACCUCCACCCGAGAUAUUCCGAUCAAACUCGGUAUCCCAGUACAACAAGACAUUUCGACAGGGUAAAACUAAACCAGCAACACCGCCCGAUGCGCCGACAUCCUGAUAGGAGCUGCACAUAUCUCGUUCUCAGGGCAACACCGGAUGAACACUACGUACAGCUAAAACCAGCCCUCAAGUUUCCCCGAGGUGGCGCCGCAAGUGGCUCUAGUUUGGACCAACGCUUAGACAAGCACUGGCCCGGGGGGUUAAAAUAAAGAUGACCCUCGGGAUGCGCGACUCCCAAGGGAAAAAGGCUAGGUGGCAAAUGGUAAAACCAAUGUUGGGCAUUGCUGGCAAAGCUUUACUUAAGGCGAAGUGUCAAGGGGUUCCCAUUAUAGCCCAACCGCGUAAGGGACGCAAAAUCCGGGAACAUAACACCGAUAAGACGGAAACUAGGGCGGCAAGAGUGGAACAAAACACCAGGCAUAAGGCCGAGCCUUCCACCCUUUACCAAGUAUAUAGAUGCAUUAAUUAAAUACGAUAUAUAGUGAUAUCCCAACAAGUAAAACAUGUUCCAACAAGGAACAACAUCUCCAUGUUCCAACAAGGAACAAUCUUCAAACUUCACCUGCAACUAACAACGCUAUAAGAGGGGCGGAGCAAAGCGGUAACAUAGCCAAUCAACGGUUUGCUAGGACAUGGUGGGUUAGGGGCUGAACAUGGCAAUUUGGGAGGCUGACAAGCAAGUGGUAGGCAUCGUAGCAAUGGCAUAGCAAAAGAGCGAGCAAACUAGCAUAGCAAAGAUAGUAGUGAUUUCGAGGGUAUGAUCAUCUUGCCUGAAAUCUCGCAAGGAAGAAGAACGAGUCCAUGAAGAAGACAAACGGACGAAGAUGAACGGGUCCUCACAAACUCGACGUUAUCGGAAUCAACCCGAAGAAGCAAUCACCGGAAAAGAAGCACACAACAUAGUAAACAACCAACACAUCAACAUGGCAUGAUGCACAAACGAGUAUGAUGCAUGUCCGGUUUAAAGAGGCAUGGCAUGGCAAAAUGCACAAGCAAUCCUACAAAUUAAGUGGAGCUCAAUAUGCAACGAGUUGCAUAUUGACGAAACACCACAUCAAUUAUUUAGUUCUCUCUCGUUUAUGUACCCAACAAUAUUAAAUGUUGAUUAACAUGGCAAGAGGUGAAACAUGAUGAAACUAUCUAAUCUAGGCAUGUUUAAAUGAGCCGGAACAACAAAACAACAAGUCCGGAAAAUCCCCAUGUGCAAAUAUUAGGUUUGGUCCUGAUCUGUCCUAAACACAAUUUUAGAGUUGUUUAACAUGCAAAGUAAGGUCACCAUGAUAAACUAGGCAAAAUUCUACCCCAUUUACAUAUAAAGUUUAUUAAAUUCCGAGUUACGGUUAUUAAGUUAUGAAUAAAAUCAUUUUAGCAUGACAUAGAGCAAAAUUAAUGCAAACAACAUUUUAGACAUUUUAACAUGGCAAGAAAGUGGCAUAUUAUUAAUCUACACAAAAUUCUGAGCAAGUUUCAUUUAUAAAGCAUUUUAAUCCGAUGCACGGUUAAUUAGUUAUUAAAUGCAUGAAGACUAGGGGCUUUUCUGUAAAUCUGCAAAUCCCUGUAAAUAGAUAAAUCGCUGAACAGGAAAAAAAAACGAGUCAUGGGAUGAUUCUGAAACAGGGCAGGCGGUGGGGGCUCUCUCACCACGGGCUUCGGCCCGGUAGCAGGAGGAGGAGGCAGGCCGGCGAUGCUGGGUCUCGGAUCUGGUUGGCGGCCCAGCAGAGAGGAGGGACUGGCGCUGGGCCUGGUGGAGCUGGGCCGGAUCGGGCGAAGGGGAGGCGGCCCGCGCGAGAGGGAUCUCGUCCCCGACCUCCCGCCGAGGCCGAGGCGAGCCAUGGUGGCGGCGGCAGGGUCCGGUGGUGGCCUGAGGCGGCGGGGCGAGGCGACACCGGCAGGAAUGGACAGAUCGGGAACUAGGGAAGCUGGAUCCGGUGUCGAGGGUGGUCGACGGCGCUCGGGGAUGCGGGAUCCGGCAGGGCGGAGCUCUCAUGGCGGCGCAAGUCGACGGGGCUUGGCAGGGAGCAAGGUGGUGCGGCCGGGAGGCCAGCGCGGAAGGAGGCGGUGCCUCUCCAGCGAAGUCCGGUAGGGGAGGCGGCGAUGCGGGCUCUGGAUCGGGGCUCCUCCCGAUCUGGAGCUCGGGGAGCAGGGGUGGCGCGAUGCGGCCUCAGGGCCCAGAUCGGGGCCCGGGCGGCCUGGAGCGGGCCUGGCGGCGCGGGGCGAUGGGAGGAGGCGGUGGGGCGACGUGGCAGCGCCCGGUUGGGCAGGGCGACGCCUCAGGUGGCGGCUGGCCUCUUGGCAGCGCCCCAAGUGGCGACGGGGAGGUGGCUGCGCGCGGAAAUCAAGGAGAAGGAGGUGGGAGGCGGCUGGGAAAUGAUUGGGGCACUGAGAUUUAGGAGGAGGGGUAGGUAGCUGCCCAAAAUGGAAGGGGGAAGGUUUAUAUAGGGCAGGUUUUAGGGUUAGGGGGGUUUCGCUCCGUUUCUGGAUCCUCCGAUCGCAAACGAACGGCCCCGGUCAAAGGGGAAAACUAGAUGGGGUUUGUGGGCUGUGUAGGAGGGUUAGGCUGGGAGGAGAGGGGAGAGAUGCAGCCCGGCACAGUUUCCGGAGACCGAAAACCUGCGACGAAAAGACCGGCUACUAUUGCCGCUAUAUUUAAUCAUUGGGGCAUCAAACGAACUCCGAUUGCGAUGAAACUUGACAGGAGGUCUAUCUACACUAUAAUAAGACCACACGUCAAAUCUCAUCCCAUUCCGAGAACAUUUUCUGGCCACUUAUAAAAUACUAUCUCGGACAUGCCGCGGGCGCGUGCAAGUGUGUCUCGUCUCAGAAUGGACAACGGAGAGAACGAGGAGGCCGGGACGGAUGCAAGUUUUGAAAACAUGAUGACGCAAUGCACAUGAUGACAUGAUGAAAUGCAACACGCAAGCAAAUGACAUGGCAACGACGGCGAAUAACUGCACGACACCUGGCACAUCGGUCUCGGGGCGUUACACUAGUGAUCUUGUCAACCAUCAACACUUGAUGUUUUUCUUGAUUUCUACCUUCGUUUAUUUCAGCAUCACGAAGAGCUUGGGAGUUGUUUCCGCUAUCCCUUGCUUAUUAUAGUUCAUCACGAAGUUCUACUAACUUGGUGAUGGUGACUAGAGAAUUCUGUCAAUCACUAUCUUAUCUGGAAGAUUGACUCCCACUUGAUUCAAGCGAUUGUAGUACCCAGACAAUCUGAGCACAUGCUCACUAGUUGAGCGAUUCUCCUCCAUCUUUUAGCUAUAGAACUUGUUGGAGAUUUCAUAUCUCUCAACUCGGGUAUUUUCUUGAAAUAUUAACUUCAACUCCUGGAACAUCUCAUAUGGUCCAUGACGUUCAAAACGUCUUUAAAGUCCCGAUUCUAAGCCACUAAGCAUGAUGCACUAAACUAUCAAGUAGUCAUUUUUGGGGAACGUAGUAAUUUCAAAAAAUUUCCUACGCACACGCAAGAUCAUGGUGAUGCAUAGCAACGAGAGGGGAGAGUGUUGUCUACGUACCAACGCAGACCGACUGCGGAAGCGAUCACACAACGUAGAGGAAGUAGUCGUACGUCUUCUUUCCGAUCCGACCGAUCCAAGCACCGUUACUCCGGCACCUCCGAGUUCUUAGCACACGUACAGCUCGAUGACGAUCCCCGGGCUCCGAUCCAGCAAAGCUUCGGGGAGGAGUUCCGUCAGCACGACGGCGUGGUGACGAUCUUGAUGUUCUGCCGACGCAGGGCUUCGCCUAAGCACUACAACGGUAUGACCGAGGUGGAAUAUGGUGGCAGGGGCACUGCACACGGCUAAGGGACGAUCUCAAGGAUCAACUUGUGUGUCUAUGGGGUGCCCCUUGCCUCAGUAUAUAAAGGAUGGAGGAGGAGGAGGCCGGCCAAGGCAUAAGGUGCGGCCAGGAUGGGAGUCCUACUAGGACUCCAAGUCCUAGUAGGAGUCCAUCAAGAGGGGAGGAAGGGAGAAGGAAGUGGAGGAGUAGGAAAGGUGGCCGGCCCCCUUUUCCCUAGUCCAAUUCGGACUAGAGGGGAGGGGGGGCGCAGCAGGCCUUUUCUCCUCUUCCCACUAAAGCCCAUCAAGGCCCAAUACUUCUCCCAGCGAAUUCCCGUCACUCUCCGGUACUCCGAAAAAUACCCGAAUCACUCGGAACCUUUCCGAAGUCCGAAUAUAGUCGUCCAAUAUAUCGAUCUUUACGUCUCGACCAUUUCGAGACUCCUCGUCAUGUCCCCGAUCUCAUCCGGGACUCUGAACUCCUUCGGUACAUCAAAACUCAUAAACUCAUAAUAUAACUGUCAUCGAAACCUUAAGCGUGCGGACCCUACGGUUCGAGAACAAUGUAGACAUGACCGAGACACGUCUCCGGUCAAUAACCAAUAGCGGGACCUGGAUGCCCAUAUUGGCUCCUACAUAUUCUACGAAGAUCUUUAUCGGUCAAACCGCAUAACAACAUACGUUGUUCCCUUUGUCAUCGGUAUGUUACUUGCCCGAGAUUCGAUCGUCGGUAUCCAAUACCUAGUUCAAUCUCGUUACCGGCAAGUCUCUUUACUCAUUCCGUAAUACAUUAUCUCGCAACUAACUCAUUAAUUGCAAUGCUUGCAAGGCUUAUGUGAUGUGCAUUACCGAGAGGGCCCAGAGAUACCUCUCCGACAAUCGAAGUGACAAAUCCUAAUCUCGAAAUACGCCAACCCAACAUCGACCUUUGGAGACACCUGUAAUGCUCCUUUAUAAUCACCCAGUUACGUUGUGACGUUUGGUAGCACCCAAAGUGUUCCUCCGGCAAACGGGAGUUGCAUAAUCUCAUAGUCAUAGGAACAUGUAUAAGUCAUGAAGAAAGCAAUAGCAACAUACUAAACGAUCGUGUGCUAAGCUAAUGGAAUGGGUAAUGUCAAUCAGUUCAUUCAACUAAUGAUGUGAUCUCGUUAAUCAAAUAACAACUCUUUUGUCCAUGGUUAGGAAACAUAAUCAUCUUUGAUUAACGAGCUAGUCAAGUAGAGGCAUACUAGUGACACUCUGUUUGUCUAUGUAUUCACACAUGUAUUAUGUUUCCGGUUAAUACAAUUCUAGCAUGAAUAAUAGACAUUUAUCAUGAUAUAAGGAAAUAAAUAAUAACUUUAUUAUUGCCUCUAGGGCAUAUUUCCUUCAGUCUCCCACUUGCACUAGAGUCAAUAAUCUAGAUCACAUCACCAUGUGAUUAACAUCGAUAGUUCACAUCAUCAUGUGAUUAACACCCAUAGUUCACAUCGUCAUGUGACCAACACUCAAAGGGUUUACUAGAGUCAGUAAUCUAGUUCACAUCUCUAUGUGAUUAACACCCAAAGAGUACUAAGGUGUGAUCAUGUUUUGCUUGUGAGAUAAUUUUAGUCAACGGGUCUGUCACAUUCAGAUUCGUAAGUAUUUUGCAAGUUCUAUGUCUACAAUGCUCUACAUGGAGCUACUCUAGCUAAUUGCUCCCACUUUCAAUAUGUAUCCAGAUUGAGACUUAGAAUCAUCUGGAUCAGUGUCAAAAACUUGCAUCGACGUAACCCUUUACGAUGAACCUUUUUGUCACGUCCAUAAUCGAGAAACAUAUCCUUAUUUCACUAAGGAUAAUUCUGACCGCUGUCUAGUGAUCUACUCCUAGAUCACUAUUGUACUCCCUUGCCAAAUCAGUGCAGGGUAUACAAUAGAUCUGGUAUACAGCAUGACAUACUUUAUAGAACCUAUGGCCAAGGCAUAGGGAAUGACUUUCAUUCUCUUUCUAUCUUCUGCCGUGGUCGGGCUUUGAGUCUUACUCAACUUCACACCUUAUAAUACAGGCAAGAACUCUUUCUUUGACUGCUCCAUUUUGAACUACUUCAAAAUCUUGUCAAGGUAUGUACUCAUUGAAAAUACUUAUCUAGCGUCUUGAUCUAUCUCUAUAGAUCUUGAAGCUCAAUAUGUAAGCAGCUUCACCGAAGUCUUUCUUUGAAAAACUCCUUUCAAACACUCCUUUAUGCUUUACAGAAUAAUUCUACAUUAUUUCCGAUCAACAAUAUGUCAUUCACAUAUACUUAUCAGAAAUGUUGUAGUGCUCCCACUCAGUUUCUUGUAAAUACAGGCUUCACCGCAAGUCUGUAUAAAACUAUAUGCUUUGAUCAACUCAUCAAGGCGUAUAUUCCAACUCCGAGAUGCUUGCACCAGUCCACAGAUGGAUCGCUGGAGCUUGCACAUUUUGUUAGCACCUUUCGGAUUGACAAAACCUUCUGUUGCAUCAUAUACAACUCUUCUUUAAUAAAUCCAUUAAGGAAUGCAGUUUUGUUUAUCCAUUUGCCAGAUUUCAUAAAAUGCGGCAAGUACUAACAUGAUUCGGACAGACUCAAGCAUAGAUACGAGUGAGAAGCUCUCGUCGUAGUCAACACCUUGAACUUGUCGAAAACCUUUUGCGACAAUUCUAGCUUUGUAGAUAGUAACACUACUAUCAACGUCCGUCUUCCUCUUGAAGAUCCAUUUAUUCUCAAUUGCUUGCCGUUCAUCGGGCAAGUCAACCAAAGUCCAAACUUUGUUCUCAUACAUGGAUCAUAUCUCAGAUUUCAUGGCCUCAAACCAUUUCGCGGAAUCUAGGCUCAUCAUCGCUUCCUCAUAGUUCGUAGGUUCGUCAUGGUCAAGUAACAUGACCUCCAGAACAGGAUUACCGUACCACUCUGGUGCGGAUCUCACUCUGGUUUACCUACAAGAUUCGGUAGUAAUUUGAUCUGAAGUUACAUGAUCAUCAUCAUUAGCUUCCUCACUAAUUGGUGUAGUAGUCACAAGAACAGAUUUUUGUGAUGAACUACUUUCCAAUAAGGUAGAAGGUACAAUUACCUUAUCAAGUUUUCUACUUUCCUCCCACUUAGUUCUUUCAAGAGAAACUCCUUCUCUAGAAAGGAUCCAUUAUAAGCAACGAAUGUCUUGCCUUAGGAUCUGUGAUAGAAGGUGUACCCAACAGUCUCCUUUGGGUAUCCUAUGAAGACAUAUUUCUCCGAUUUGGGUUUGAGCUUAUCAGGAUGAAUUUUUUUUCUCAUAAGCAUCGCAACCCCAAACUUCAAGAAACGACAACUUUGGUUUCUUGCCAAACCAUAGUUCAUAAGGCAUCGUCUCAACGGAUAUAGAUGGUGCCCCUUUUUUUUAACGUGAAUGCAACUGUCUCUAAUGCAUGACCCCAAAAAUGAUAGUGGUAAAUCGGUAAGAUACAUCAUAGAUUGCACUAUAUCCAAUAAAGUACGGUUAUGAUGUUCGGACACACCAUUAUGCUGUGGUGUUCCAGGUGGCGUGAGUAGUGAAACUAUUUCACAUUGUUUUAACUGAAGACCAAACUCGUAACUCAAAUACUCUUUUCCACGAUCAGAUCGUAGAAACUUUAUUUUCUUGUUACGAUGAUUUUCCACUUCACUCUGAAAUUAUAUGAACUUUUCAAAUGUAUCAGACUUCUAUUUCAUUAAGUAGAUAUACCCAUAUCUGCUCAACUCAUCUGUGAAGGUCAGAAAAUAAUGAUACCCGCUGCAAGCCUUAAAUAUUCAUAGGACCACAUACAUCAGUAUGUAUGAUUUCCAACAAAUCUGUUGCUUGCUCCAUUGUUCCGGAGAACGGCGUUUUAGUCAUCUUGCCCAAAAGGCAUGGUUCGCAAGCAUCAAGUGAUUCAUAAUCAAGUGAUUCCGAAAGCCCAUCAGCAUGGAGUUUCUUCAUGCGCUUUAUACCAAUAUGACCUAAACGGCAGUGCCACAAAUAAGUUGCACUAUCAUUAUUAACUUUGCAUCUUUUGGUUUCAAUAUUAUGAAUAUGUGUAUCACUACGAUUGAGAUCCAACGAACUUGUUUCAUUGGUGUAUGACCAUCGAAGGUUUUAUUCAUGUAAACAGAACAACAAUUAUUCUCUGACUUUAAUGAAUAACCGUAUUGCAAUAAACAUGAUCAAAUCAUAUUCAUGCUCAACGCAAAAACCAAAUAACACUUAUUUAAGUUCAACACUAAUCCCGAAAGUAUAGGGGAGUGUGCGAUGAUGAUCAUAUCAAUCUUGGAACUACUUCCAACACACAUCGUCACUUCACCCUUAACUAGUCUCUGUUUAUUCUGCAACUCCUAUUUCGAGUUACUACUCUUAGCAACUGAACCAAUAUCAAAUACUGAGGGGUUGCUAUAAACACUAGUAAAGCACACAUCAAUAACAUGUAUAUCAAAUAUACUUUUGUUCACUUUGCCAUCCUUCUUAUCCGCCAAAUACUUGGGGCAGUUCCGCUUCCAGUGACCAGUCCCUUUGCAGUAGAAGCACUUAGUCUCAGGCUUAGGACCAGACUUGGGCUUCUUCACUUGAGCAGCAACUUGCUUGCCGUUCUUUUUGAAGUUCCCUUCUUCCCUUUUGCACUUUUCUUCAAACUAGUGGUCUUGUCAACCAUCAACACUUGAUGUUUUUCUUGAUUUCUACCUUCAUCGAUUUCAGCAUCACGAAGAGCUUGGGAAUCGUUUCCGUUAUCCCUUGCAUAUCAUAGUUCAUCACGAAGUUCUACUAACUUGGUGAUGGUGACUAGAGAAUUCUGUCAAUCACUAUCUUAUCUGGAAGAUUAACUCCCACUUGAUUCAAGCGAUUGUAGUACCCAGACAAUCUGAGCACAUGCUCACUAGUUGAGCGAUUCUCCUUCAUCUUUUAGCUAUAGAACUUGUUGGAGACUUCAUAUCUCUCAACUCGGGUAUUUGCUUGAAAUAUUAACUUCAACUCCUGGAACAUCUCAUAUGGUCCAUGACGUUCAAAACGUCUUUGAAGUCCCGAUUCUAAGCCAUUAAGCAUGGUGCACUAAACUAUCAAGUAGUCAUCAUAUUGAGCUAGCCAAACGUUCAUAACGUCUGCAUCUGCUCCUGCAAUAGGUUUGUCACCUAGCGGUGCAUCAAGGACAUAAUUUUUCUGUGCAGCAAUGAGGAUAAACCUCAGAUCACGGAUCCAAUCCGUAUCAUUGCUACUAACAUCUUUCAACACAAUUUUCUCUAGGAACAUAUCAAAAUAAACAUAUGAAAGCAACAACGCGAGCUGUUGAUCUUCAACAUAGAUAUGCUAAUACUACCAGGACUAAGUUCAUGAUAAAUUAAAGUUCAAUUAAUCAUAUUACUUAAGAACUCCCACUUAGAUAGACAUCCCUCUAAUCCUCUAAGUGAUCACGUGAUCCAAAUCAACUAAACCAUAACCGAUCAUCACGUGAGAUGGAGUAUUUUUCAAUGGUGAACAUCGUUAUGUUGAUCAUAUCUACUAUAUGAUUCACGCUCGACCUUUCGGUCUCUGUGUUCCGAGGCCAUAUCUGCAUAUGCUAGGCUCGUCAAGUUUAACCUGAGUAUUCUGCGUGUGCAAAACUGGCUUGCACCCGUUGUAGAUGGACGUAGAGCUUAUCACACCCGAUCAUCACGUGGUGUCUGGGCACGACGAACUUUGGCAACGGUGCAUACUUAGGGAGAACACUUCAUGAUAAUUUAGUGAGCGAUCAUCUUAUAAUGCUACCGUCAAUCAAAGCAAGAUAAGAUGCAUAAAAGGAUAAACAUCACAUGCAAUCAAUAUAAGUGAUAUGAUAUGGCCAUCAUCAUCUUGUGCUUGUGAUCUCCAUCUCCGAAGCACCGUCAUGAUCACCAUCGUCACCGACGCGACACCUUGAUCUCCAUCGUAGCAUCGUUGUCGUCUCGCCAAUCUUAUGCUUCCACGACUAUCACUACCGCUUAGUAAUAAAGUAAAGCAUUACAUCGCGAUUGCAUUGCAUACAAUAAAGCGACAACCAUAUGGCUCCUGCCAGUUGCCGAUAACUUGGUUACAAAACAUGAUCAUCUCAUACAAUAAAAUCAGCAUCAUGCCUUGACCAUAUCACAUCACAACAUGCCCUGCAAAAACAAGUUAGACAUCCUCUACUUUGUUGUUGCAAGUUUUACGUGACUGCUACGGGCUUAAGUAAGAAGUCAUCUCACCUACGCAUCAAAACCACAACGAUAGUUCGUCAAAUAGACUCCGUUUUAACCUUCUCAAGGACCGGGCGUAGCCAUACUCGGUUCAACUAAAGUUGGAGAGACAGUCGCCCGCAAGCCAUCUAUGUGCUAAGCACGUCGAGGGAAUCGGUCUCGCGUAAGCGUACGCGUAAGGUUGGUCCGGGUCGUCUCGUCCAACAAUACCGCCGAACCAAAGUAUGACAUGCUGGUAGGCAGUAUGACUUGUAUCGCCCACAACUCACUUGUGUUCUACUCGUGCAAAUAACAUCAAACCAUAAAACCUAGGCUCGGAUGCCACUGUUGGGGAACGUAGUAAUUUCAAAACAUUUCUUACGCACACGCAAGAUCAUGGUGAUGCAUAGCAACGAGAGGGGAGAUUGUUGUCUACGUACCAACGCAGACCGACUGCGGAAGCGAUCACACAACAUAGAGGAAGUAGUCGUACGUCUUCUUUCCGAUCCGACCGAUCCAAGCACCGUUACUCCGGCACCUCCGAGUUCUUAGCACACGUACAGCUCGAUGACGAUCCCCGGGCAUCGAUCCAGCAAAGCUUUGGGGAGGAGUUCCGUCAGCACGACGGCGUGGUGACGAUCUUGAUGUUCUACCGACGCAGGGCUUCGCCUAAGCACUACAACGGUAUGACCGAGGUGGAAUAUGGUGGCAGGGGCAUCGCACACGGCUAAGGGACGAUCUCAAGGAUCAACUUGUGUGUCUAUGGGGUGCCCCUUGCCUCAGUAUAUAAAGGAUGGAGGAGGAGGAGGCCGGCCAAGGCAUAAGGUGCGGCCAGGAUGGGAGUCCUACUAGGACUCCAAGUCCUAGUAGGAGUCCAUCAAGAGGGGAGGAAGGGAGAAGGAAGUGGAGGAGUAGGAAAGGUGGCCGGCCCCUUUUCCCUAGUCCAAUUCGGACUAGAGGGGAGGGGGGCGCAGCAGGCCUUUUCUCCUCUUCCCACUAAAGCCCAUCAAGGCCCAAUACUUCUCCCAGCGAAUUCCCGUAACUCUCCGGUAGUCCGAAAAAUACCCGAAUCACUCGGAACCUUUCCGAAGUCCGAAUAUAGUCGUCCAAUAUAUCGAUCUUUACGUCUCGACCAUUUCGAGACUCCUCGUCAUGUCCCCGAUCUCAUCCGGGACUCCGAACUCCUUCGGUACAUCAAAACUCAUAAACUCAUAAUAUAACUGUCAUCGAAACCUUAAGCGUGCGGACCCUACGGUUCGAGAACAAUGUAGACAUGACCGAGACACGUCUCCGGUCAAUAACCAAUAGCGGGACCUGGAUGCCCAUAUUGGCUCCUACAUAUUCUACGAAGAUCUUUAUCGGUCAAACCGCAUAACAACAUACGUUGUUCCCUUUGUCAUAGGUAUGUUACUUGCCCGAGAUUCAAUCGUCGGUAUCCAAUACCUAGUUCAAUCUCGUUACCGGCAAGUCUCUUUACUCGUUCCGUAAUACAUCAUCUUGCAACUAACUCAUUAAUUGCAAUGCUUGCAAGGCUUAUGUGAUGUGCAUUACCGAGAGGGCCUAGAGAUACCUCUCCGACAAUCGGAGUGACAAAUCCUAAUCUCGAAAUACGCCAACCCAACAUCGACCUUUGGAGACACCUGUAAUGCUCCUUUAUAAUCACCCAGUUACGUUGUGACGUUUGGUAGCAGCCAAAGUGUUCCUCCGGCAAACGGGAGUUGCAUAAUCUCAUAGUCAUAGGAACAUGUAUAAGUCAUGAAGAAAGCAAUAGCAACAUACUAAACGAUCGUGUGCUAAGCUAAUGGAAUGGGUCAUGUCAAUCAGAUCAUUCAACUAAUGAUGUGAUCUCGUUAAUCAAAUAACAACUCUUUUGUCCAUGGUUAGGAAACAUAAUCAUCUUUGAUUAACGAGCUAGUCAAGUAGAGGCAUACUAGUGACACUCUGUUUGUCUAUGUAUUCACACAUGUAUUAUGUUUCCGGUUAAUACAAUUUUAGCAUGAAUAAUAAACAUUUAUCAUGAUAUAAGGAAAUAAAUAAUAACUUUAUUAUUGCCUCUAGGGCAUAUUUCCUUCAGUCAUCAUAUUGAGCUAGCCAAACGUUCAUAACGUCUACAUCUGCUCCUGCAAUAGGUCUGUCACCUAGCGGUGCAUCAAGGACAUAAUUCUUCUGUGCGGCAAUGAGGAUAAACCUCAGAUCACGGAUCCAAUCUGCAUCAUUGCUACUAACAUCUUUCAACACAAUUUCCUCUAGGAACAUAUCAAAACAAACACAGGGAAGUAACAACGCGAGCUAUCGAUCUACAACAUAAUUUGCAAAAUACUACCAGGACUAAGUUCAUGAUAAAUUUAAGUUCAAUUUAAUCAUAUUACUUUAAGAACUCCCACUUAGAUAGACAUCCCUCUAAUCCUCUAAGUGAUCACGUGAUCCAAAUUAACUAAACCAUAACCGAUCAUCACGUGAGAUGGAGUAGUUUUCAAUGGUGAACAUCGUUAUGUUGAUCAUAUCUACUAUAUGAUUCACGCUCGACCUUUCGGUCUCCGUGUUCCGAGGCCAUAUCUGUGAAGGAAAUAUGCCCUAGAGGCAAUAAUAAAGUUAUUAUUUAUUUCCUUAUAUCAUGAUAAAUGUUUAUUAUUCAUGCUAGAAUUGUAUUAACCGGAAACAUAAUACAUGUGUGAAUACAUAGACCAACAUAGUGUCACUAGUAUGCCUCUACUUGACUAGCUCGUUAAUCAAAGAUGGUUAUGUUUCCUAACCAUGAACAAAGAGUUGUUAUUUGAUUAACGAGGUCACAUCAUUAGUUGAAUGAUCUGAUUGACAUGACCCAUUCCAUUAGCUUAGCACCCGAUCGUUUAGUAUGUUGCUAUUGCUUUCUUCAUGACUUAUACAUGUUCCUAUAACUAUGAGAUUAUGCAACUCCCGUUUACCGGAGGAACACUUUGGGUACUACCAAACGUCACAACGUAACUGGGUGAUUAUAAAGGAGUACUACAGGUGUCUCCAAUGGUAGAUGUUGGGUUGGCGUAUUUCGAGAUUAGGGUUUGUCACUCCGAUUGUCGGAGAGGUAUCUCUGGGCCCUCUCGGUAAUGCACAUCACAUAAGCCUUGCAAGCACUGCAACUAAUAUGUUAGUUGUGAGAUGAUGUAUUACGGAACGAGUAAAGAGACUUGCCAGUAACGAGAUUGAACUAGGUAUUGGAUACCGACGAUCGAAUCUCGGGCAAGUAACAUACCGAUGACAAAGGGAACAACGUAUGUUGUUAUGCGGUCUGACCGAUAAAGAUCUUCGUAGAAUAUGUAGGAGCCAAUAUGGGCAUCCAGGUCCCGCUAUUGGUUAUUGACCGGAGACGUGUCUCGGUCAUGUCUACAUUGUUCUCGAACCGUAGGGUCCGCACGCUUAACGUUACGAUGACAGUUAUUAUGAGUUUAUGCAUUUUGAUGUACCGAAGGUUGUUCGGAGUCCCAGAUGAGAUCACAGACUUGACGAGGAGUCUCGAAAUGGUCGAGACGUAAAGAUUGAUAUAUUGGAAGCCUAUGUUUGGACAUAGGAAGUGUUCCGGGUGAAAUCGGGAUUUUACCGGAAUACCGGGAGGGUUACCGGAACCCCCCGGGAGACUAAUGGGCCUAUUGGGCCUUAGUGGAAAAAGAGAAAAGGGGCAACCCAUAGCUGGCCGGCGCCCCCCCUUUCCCCAAGUCCUAGUAGGACUAGGAUAAGGGGCCGGCCCCCCCUUCUCUCUCCUUUUCCCCGAGAGUCCUAAUUGGAAUAGGAUUGGAGGGGGGAGUCCUACUCCCGGUGGGAGUAGGACUCCCCCUGCGCCUCCCUCUCCCUGGCCGGCCGCCCCCCCUCCUCCAACCUUUAUAUACGGGGGCAGGGGACACCCCAAGACACACAAGUUGAUCCUUGAGAUCGUUCCUUAGCCGUGUGCGGUGCCCCCUGCCACCAAAUUCCACCUCGAUCAUACCGUUACAGUGCUUAGGCGAAGCCCUGCGUCGGUAGUACAUCAAGAUCGUCACCACGCCGUCGUGCUGACGGAACUCUUCCUCGACGCUUUGCUGGAUCGGAGCCCGAGGAACGUCAUCGAGCUGAACGUGUGCUAAGAACUCGGAGGUGCCGGAGUAACGGUGCUUGGAUCGGUCGGAUCGGAAAGAAGACGUACGACUACUUCCUCUACGUUGUGUGAUCACUUCCGCAGUCGGUCUGCGUUGGUACGUAGACAACACUCUCCCCUCUCGUUGCUGUGCAUCACCAUGAUCUUGUGUGUGCGUAGGAAAAUUUUCGAAAUUACUGCGUUCCCCAACAAUCUGCAUAUGCUAGGCUCGUCAAGUUUAACCUGAGUAUUCUGCGUGUGCAAAAACUGGCUUGCACCCGUUGUAGAUGGACGUAGAGCUUAUCACACUCUAUCAUCACGUGGUGUCUGGGCACGAUGAACUUUGGCAACGGUGCAUACUCAGGGAGAACACUUCUUGAUAAUUUAGUGAGAGAUCAUCUUAUAAUGCUACCGUCAAUCAAAGCAAGAUAAGAUGCAUAAAAAAGAUAAACAUCACAUGCAAUCAAUUCAAUAUAAGUGAUAUGAUAUGGCCAUCAUAUUCUUGUGCUUGUGAUCUCCAUCUCCGAAGCACCGUCAUGAUCACCAUCGUCACCGGCGCGACACCUUGAUCUCCAUCGUAGCAUCGUUGUCGUCUUGCCAAUCUUAUGCUUCCACGACUAUCGCUACCGCUUAGUGAUAAAGUAAAGCAUUACAUCGCGAUUGCAUUGCAUACAAUAAAACGACAACCAUAUGGCUCCUGCCAGUUGCCGAUAACUCGGUUACAAAACAUGAUCAUCUCAUACAAUAAAAUUUAGCAUCAUGUCUUGACCAUAUCACAUCACAACAUGCCCUGCAAAAACAAGUUAGACGUCCUCUACUUUGUUGUUGCAAGUUUUACGUGGCUGCUACGGGCUUAAGCAAGAACCAAUCUCAGCUACGCAUCAAAACCACAAUGAUAGUUUGUCAAAUAGACUCCGUUUUAACCUUCGCAAGGACCGGGCGUAGCCACACUUGGUUCAACUAAAGUUGGAGAAACAGUCACCCGCAAGCCACCUUUGUGCAAAGCACGUCGGGAGAACCGGUCUCGCGUAAGCGUACGCGUAAUGUCGGUCCGGGCCGCUUCAUCCAACAAUACCGCCGAACCAAAGUAUGACAUGCUGGUAGGCAGUAUGACUUAUAUCGCCCACAACUCACUUGUGUUCUACUCGUGCAUAUAACAUCAAACCAUAAAACCUAGGCUCUGAUACCACUGUUGGGGAACGUAGUAAUUUCAAAAAAUUUCCUACGCACACGCAAGAUCAUGGUGAUGCAUAGCAACGAGGGGGAGAGUCUGAUCUACGUACCCUUGUAGAUCGCAACGGAAGCGUUGACACAACGUAGAGGAAGUAGUCGUACGACUUCUUCCCGAUCCGACCGAUCCAAGCACCAUUACUCCGGCACCUCCAAGUUCUUAGCACACGUACAGCUCGAUGACGAUCCCCGGGCUCCGAUCCAGCAAAGCUCCGGGGAGGAGUUCCGUCAGCACGACGGCGUGGUGACGAUCUUAAUGUACUACCGACGCAGGGCUGCGCCUAAGCACUACAACGGUAUUAUCGAGGUGGAAUAUGGUGGCAGGGGGCACCGCACACGGUUAGGAACGAUCUCAAUGAUCAACUUGUGUGUCUAUGGGGUGCCCCCUGCCCCCGUAUAUAAAGGAGCAAGGGAGGAGGGGCGGCCGGCCUAGGAGUGGGCGCGCCAAGGGGAGUCCUACUCCCACCGGGAGUAGGACUCCUUCUUUCCUUGUCCAACUAGGAGAAGGGGGGAAUGGAGGGAAGUGGAGAAGGAAGGGAGAGGUGGGCCGCGCCCCAAAUCCCUUGUCCAAUUCAGACUAGGCUUGGGAGGGGCGCGCGCCACCUCCUGGCUCCUUCCCACUAAAGCCCAUUAAGGCCCAAUACUCUUCCCCGUAUUCCCGUAACUCCCCGGUACCUCCGAAAAUACCCGAAUCACUCGGAACCUUUCCGAUGUCUGAAUUGUAACACCCUCGAUGCGACUAUAUCUCCCACGUGUCGAGGCACGACUUAGAGGCAUAAUCGCAUUGAAGGCAAUGUCGCAAGUGAGGUAAUCUUCACACAACCCAUGUAAUACAAUAGGGGAAAAAGUUACAUAGUUGGCUUACAAUCGCCACUUCACACAAUUACAUGAAUAAAGCAUUACAUCAUUCAAAUACACUCAAGGUCCGACUACGGAACCAAAAUAAAAGAAGAACCCCAAAUGCGACAAAGGUCCCCGAUCGACCCCAACUGGGCACCACUACUGAUCAACUAGAACGAAACAACAUAAAGGACAAGAUCUUCAACGAGCUCCUCCUGAGCUUGGUUGCGUCAUCUGCACGGACUCAUCGGCACCUGCAAACUGGUUUUGGAAGUAAUCUGUGAGCCAUGGGGACUCAGCAAUCUCGCACCCUCGCGAUCAAGACUAUUUAAGCUUAUGGGUAAGGUAAAGGUAUGAGGUGGAGCUGCAGCAAGCGACUAGCAUAUAUGGUGGCUAACAUACGCAAAUGAGAGCGAGAAGAGAAGGCAAGGCACGGUCGAUAAAGUAUGAUCAAGAAGUGAUCAUGGACUACCUACGUCAAGCAUAACUCCAACAACCGUGUUCACUUCCCGGACUCCGCCGGAAAGAGACCAUCACGGUUACACACGCGGUUGAUUCAUUUUAAUUAAGGUCGACUUCAGGUUUUCUACAACCGGACGUUAACAAAUUCCCAUCUGCCCAUAACCGCGAGCACGGCUUUCGAAAGAUCAAAUCCCUGCAGGGGUGUCCCAACUUAGCCCAUUACAAGCUCUCACGGACAACGAAGGAAUAGACCUCCACCCGAGACAUUCCGAUCAGACUCGGUAUCCCAGUACAACAAGACAUUUCGACAGGGUAAAACUAAACCAGCAACACCACCCGAAUGUGCCAACAAAUCCCGAUAGGAGCUGCACAUAUCUCUUUCUCAGGGCACACCGGAUCGUCCAAACUUCCGGUAGGCCAGCCCAGAGUUGCCCCUGGUGGCCACCGGCGGCUGACAGUUUGGACCAACACUCAGAGGAGCACUGGCCCGGGGGGGGGGGGUAAAUAAUGAUGACCCUUGAGUCUGCAGUACCCAAGGGAAAGAAAAAGGCUAGGUGGCAAAUGGUAAAACCAAUGUUGGGCAUUGCUGGAGAAGCUUUACUUAAGGCGAACUUGUAACACCCUCGAUGCGACUAUAUCUCCCACGUGUCGAGGCACGAUUUUGAGGCAUAAUCGCAUUGAAGGCAUAUGUCACAAGUGAGGUAAUCUUCACACAACCCAUGUAAUAUAACAAGGGAAAGAGAUACAUAGUUGGCUUACAACCGCCACUUCACACAAUUACAUGAAUAAAGCAUUACAUCAAUCAAGUACACUCAUGGUCCGACUACGGAACCAAAAUAAAAGAAGAACCCCAAAUGCGACAACGGUCCCCGAUCGACCCCAACUGGGCUCCACUACUGAUCAACUAGCACGAAACAAC
rnacentral:lncRNA from 1 species